CAAAAACAUCGCCUCUUGAAACCUAUAAGAGGUCCAGCCUGCCCAGUGACCAUGUUAAACGGCCGCGGUAUACUAACCGUGCAAAGGUAGCGCAAUCACUUGUCUCUUAAAUAGAGACCUGUAUGAAUGGCAUCACGAGAAUUUAACUGUCUCCUUUUUCCAAUCAGUGAAACUAAUCCCCCUGUGAAAAAGCAGGGAUACUUAUAUAAGACGAGAAGACCCUAUGAAGCUUUAAAUAUUUUAACAAGUGCUCACAACACACCCUUUAAGAAGCCCAACAUGCAGCACAUUGAUUAUAAGUUUUUGGUUGGGGUGACCGCGGAGAAAAAUCAAACCCCCGCACUAAUGAACCUAAAAUUCAAAACUAAAGUCACAACUUUACAAUCAAUAAAUUGGCACAAUUGACCCAAAUAUUUGAUCAAUGAACUAAGUUACUCUAGGGAUAACAGCGCAAUCCACUUCAAGAGCACAUAUCGACAAGUGGGCUUACGACCUCGAUGUUGGAUCAGGGUAUCCCAGUGGUGCAGCCGCUACUAAAGGUUCGUUUGUUCAACGAUUAAAACCCUACGUG
rnacentral:rRNA from 1 species